AUUGAACGCUGGCGGCAUGCCUUACACAUGCAAGUCGAAGGUAACAGGUCUUCGGAUGCUGACGAGUGGCGAACGGGUGAGUAAUACAUCGGAACGUGCCUAGUAGUGGGGGAUAACUACUCGAAAGAGUGGCUAAUACCGCAUGAGAUCUACGGAUGAAAGCAGGGGAUCGCAAGACCUUGUGCUACUAGAGCGGCCGAUGGCAGAUUAGGUAGUUGGCGGGAUAAAAGCUUCCCAAGCCGACGAUCUGUAGCUGGUCUGAGAGGACGAUCAGCCACACUGGGACUGAGACACGGCCCAGACUCCUACGGGAGGCAGCAGUGGGGAAUUUUGGACAAUGGGCGCAAGCCUGAUCCAGCAAUGCCGCGUGCAGGAUGAAGGCCUUCGGGUUGUAAACUGCUUUUGUACGGAACGAAAAGCCCCGGGUUAAUACCCUGGGGUCAUGACGGUACCGUAAGAAUAAGCACCGGCUAACUACGUGCCAGCCGCCGCUGUAA
rnacentral:rRNA from 1 species